ACCCAACGUGGGGCUCAAACUCAUGACCCCGAGAUCAAGAGUUCCAUGCUCUUCCGACUGAGCCAGCCUGGUGUCCCAUGGUCAAGUGUUUCUUAUUAUUUCCCUGUUGGGACCCUUCAGCUCUACAGUUACUGCAGGGUUGGACAUUCACUCAACAUUUUUUUUGGUCUUCUUCCUGUGUGUGAGGCACUGUGCCUGAUGCUGUAUAUAGGAGGCUGCGGUAAACCGGGUCUCCGCUCUCAUGCAACUCCAGUUUCGUCGUGGGAAGGCAAAUCCUAAGGACAAAAAAUUUUAAGUAAAAAGAAAAAAAACCAACAACAAGGUGACUCUAUUUGCUGACUAACAUCGGUUAAAAUAAUACAUGGAGUAGCAAAAAGAUUAAGAGAAACUUUGAGAAAGGAAAAAAAGACCACUUAUAAUCCCGCUUCUCUAAUACAACUAUCUUCACACUUGCGUAUUAUCUUCUGUGCCUCAUCCACACGUGUGUUUUUUUAUGAAAUUGGUAUCUAUUGCGAUUAUUUAUUCUCCCAAACCGGAGGGGCGUAGAGUGAGGAGAGACCAGUGAGGAAUUCUGAACAUCCAGGAAUUCUGGGGAAACACCUCUCAGUUGAGACUCAAGAAUGAACCACCAUGAGCAUGCUCGAGGUGAUGAAGACCAAUUGGUUACAGAGUU